GUUCCCCACCCYCAAAGACCUUGGCUAAAUUAUCACAGUACAAAUAGACGAGCCAAGCCAUGAUUUUCAUUCCUGAAACCCAUCUUAAAGACUGGUAAGAAGUACUGAAACAAGACAGUCUACUGCCUCAAAGAAGAUUCUAAGAAUUAAGAAGAUAACAACUCGGUGUGUAACAAACGAAAUGGAGAAAACUGUCUUCCUGGCUGUGUUGGUGCUUUGUGUUACUCUUGUCUUUGCGGCCAAAGAAGAAGUACAUUUGAAACUCCGAGCCAUGAAAUGUGAUUGUUAUGAUGGUGGACCGUAUGGCGACUGGUGGUUUUGGCGAAAAAACUGCCCAACUAAAGGAUAUCACUACACUAAUUCGUGCUCGAGUAAGGGUAGUGUCUGUUGCUUUCCGGGUGGACAAUGAACCAUGCAGAAGUUCUAAAAAAAAUGCCUGAAUCUACUAAGACUCAAAAAUGUCAAAUUGAUGUGUAGUCUACAAUAACCUGUUAUCUAUAGCAAUAAAUAUAGUACACUUAUUUUGGUCAUCAAGCUUACUUGCUUGCUUGCUUGCAAACGCGACAAAUUAAUUCCCCUACUCCAUACUAGAUAAAUGUGUAUUACUCAAUUAAUUGUGUGACAAUAAAGGUGUAUAACCGGCUAA